rnacentral:rRNA from 1 species
UACGGGGGGCGCAAGCGUUGUUCGGAAUUACUGGGCGUAAAGGGUUUGUAGGUGGCUUGUUAAGUCAGACGUGAAAUCCCUCAGCUUAACUGGGGAACUGCGUCUGAUACUGGCGAGCUUGAGUGCAGGAGAGGAACGCGGAAUUCCAGGUGUAGCGGUGAAAUGCGUAGAUAUCAGGAGGAACACCGGUGGCGAAGGCGGAUCUCUGGGCCUUACCUGACGCUGAGGCGCGAAAGCUAGGGGAGCGAACAGG